rnacentral:rRNA from 1 species
GCCGGCGAGUGGCGAACGGGUGAGUAAUACAUCGGAACGUACCCAGUAGCGGGGGAUAGCCCGGCGAAAGCCGGAUUAAUACCGCAUACGCCCUAAGGGGGAAAGCGGGGGAUCGCAAGACCUCGCGCGAUUGGAGCGGCCGAUAUCAGAUUAGGUUGUUGGUGAGGUAAAAGCUCACCAAGCCGACGAUCUGUAGCUGGUCUGAGAGGACGAUCAGCCACACUGGAACUGAGACACGGUCCAGACUCC